rnacentral:rRNA from 1 species
AUUACGGAGAGUUUGAUUCUGGCUCAGAACGAACGCUGGCGGCGUGGAUAAGACAUGCAAGUCGGGCUAGAUGCGACUGAUGGUAACUGAAGUCAAAUCGAGCGGCGAACGGGUGAGUAACACGUAAGAAUCUGCCCGGAAGACGGAGAUAACCCGAGGAAACUCGGGAUAAUAACCGAUGUGGAGGUAACUCUAAAGGUGGCCCGCAAGGGACACACGCUUCCGGAUGAGCUUGCGGUCCAUCAGCUUGUUGGUGAGGUAACGGCUCACCAAGGCACCGACGGAUAGCUGGUCUGAGAGGAUGGUCAGCCACACUGGAACUGAGACACGGUCCAGACACCUACGGGUGGCAGCAGUCGAGAAUCUUGGUCAAUGGGGGAAACCCUGAACCAGCGACGCCGCGUGGGGGAUGAAGGCCUUCGGGUCGUAAACCCCUGUCGGGUGUGAGUAAAACCUAGCUUACGCUAGGCUUGAGAUUAGCACCAAAGGAAGGGGCGGCUAACUCCGUGCCAGCAGCCGCGGUAAUACGGAGGCCCCGAGCGUUGUUCGGAUUUACUGGGCG